CUCGACGGUCCGACGACGCCAGUCUUUGAGAGUCCAGCCCGAAAGGAUGCCCUGGCCCUGUCGACUGCUCCAGUGAACGUCAUUGCGUCUCAUUAGUGAAGGUAAAAAUAAAAUCGACUGCUAAAUCAGGAGUCAUCGUGGGAUACUGACGAGAAUCGAGGGACGUGCUCGUUUGAAUUUUCAUUCGAAUCCGAGUGACUGAUGAAAUUGUCCCAAAAUCCCAAGCGAUGAGGAAUACGUUUCAACGACAUAACGUACUACGUCAUCGAUGCGCAAACCGACGCGUCGCGACGCCACGAGGGAAUGACGACUGACAGGAGGUCACAGAUAUAGCAAGAGCGUCGACUGGUUAAUGGGUUAAACGGGCUGUUCUGAUUGGUCAAUGGCGAGGUGUACUAGCGAUGACGUAGCGCGAGUGCACUGCCCCCUGCUGCUGUGACGUGGGAUACGCGUACUAGUACACUGCAGCUACGGUUGAAACUUUCUGGAUUGGACAAUAAAUAUCUUAUACUGGCACACACGCCAGAGCCAUGUAUCACGUAUCCAUGUAUGCUCAUAUGCAACAGCAGUAAAGACAUAUGUUUAGGUAAUGGGGAGCAGGUGCUCGUUUUAUGAAAUAUCAAUAAAGCAUUUCAAUGAAAAUAAAAAAAGAGGCAAAAAAAUGACAUUUACGAUUUUUAUGAAAAUUUAUGUAAGAUACGUGCCUAGUUGAAGGGACGGUAAUAUUUUCUUUUAUAUGCAAAACAUGCAUGCGAUGUACAUUGCAAGGUCUACUGAUAAAAUACCCUAGGUUUGGAUACUCUUGUGUUACUAUUAAUUUUGAAUAAUUUUCUUCUAUCUAAUUUAACUUGGUCAGAGUAAACUUUAUCAUUGAAAUGGGCUACUUUGUACUUUUUUUUUUUUAGAACCUGUAUAUACGUAUAUGGUUGUAUUGCAAGGGUGGCUUUUAAAAGACGCUGCAAAUGCGAUCCUGGCAAAUAUGUGUUUGGCAAUCUAUCAAAAACACGAGACGCCCUUAAUUGAGGUUAAUUGAAUGUGCGGAAAGGAGGGAGCAAGAAUGUCGUUCCAGCCUGUACGGACUUCCGCGUUGA